rnacentral:rRNA from 1 species
GAUGAACGCUGGCGGCGUGCCUAAUACAUGCAAGUCGAGCGCAGGAAGCAGCUGGAUUUCUUCGGAAUGACAGCUGUGGAAUGAGCGGCGGACGGGUGAGUAACACGUAGGCAACCUACCCAUCAGACUGGGAUAACCACCGGAAACGGUGGCUAAUACCGGAUAACCCUUUUGAACACAAGUUUAGAAGUUGAAAGGCGGUUUCGGCUGUCACUGAUGGAUGGGCCUGCGGCGCAUUAGCUGGUUGGUGGGGUAACGGCCCACCAAGGCGACGAUGCGUAGCCGACCUGAGAGGGUGAUCGGCCACACUGGGACUGAGACACGGCCCAGACUCCUACGGGAGGCAGCAGUAGGGAAUCUUCCGCAAUGGACGCAAGUCUGACGGAGCAACGCCGCGUGAGUGAAGAAGGGUUUCGGCUCGUAAAACUCUGUUGUUAAGGAAGAAUGACGGGUAUUUAACUGAUGCCCGUGUGACGGUACUUAACCAGAAAGCCACGGCUAACUACGUGCCAGCCGCCGCGGUAACA